rnacentral:snoRNA from 2 species
CCCCUCUCAGAGUCGCACCUGGAGACUUUCCAGUACUCUACCAACCUCGGUUAUGGGAGAGAAAGUCAAGCAGAGGCCUACUCAUUCCAUUCCUAGCUUGGCCAGUGGCUAGUGAGUGAAAGGCAAUCUGCUACAAGU